rnacentral:lncRNA from 1 species
GUCCGUCAUGUUGAUUUUCUGAAAGUGAUGUUGAUGAUGUGAAAAUUAUUUCGUCUGAUCAGGAGUUGUCAUCUCUAGGAAUAAUUAGCUUAAAGAUUGUCGAUGUUCCGGAUGACACUAAACUUAGAUUGAAAUGUUUAGUUAGUAAGUGGAGGUCUAUUUUCUCAAAAGGUCCCACUGACAUUGGGCUCACAUAUAUGAUUGAACACGAGAUUCA